AGGAGCCGAGUGCUUAGAAAUUUGCAAGCUCGGUACUGUGGAGGGGAAAACCCGUAAGGGUUUACCUAUUCCGGC
rnacentral:ncRNA from 2 species